CCAGUAAAUCGUAUUUCUAAGAAUGCUGUUCCUUGCUUACUGAAAAGGUUACGAUGAAAUACAGAAAGUAAGAGAGAGAGAGAGAGAGAGAGAGAGAGAGAGAAAGAGAGAGAAAAGCAAAGAAAGAAAACCGAAACGAGACAAAAUUGGCGAGGAUAGAGAGACUGCUGAGCGAGAAAUAUCGGCCUCGGAAUUCCUAGAGGCCACCGAUAUUUGACGUAAGAGUUUUAAUGCAUGUAAAAUGUAACGACCACGGCUGGUAACCUCGAGAAGUAACAAAACCACUAAAUUAUCGGCUUGUCCCAUUCCCUUGGCAAGUAUCGGGUCGAGUAGAGCAUAACCGAGACUCGAUCAUUGUAGUAAUAUAGAUAUCUAUCACCGAAGAAAGAUUUUAACCUUUUUGCUUUGUUCUAAUUGACAAGUCAAAUUGCUUUUGUAUAAAUUAAUCAAUUAUUUUUACUUGACGAACAAACGAAUGAAAUAAAAAUAAUUAAAAUAUGAAUAUGGAGUUUCGACGAUAUGGUUCAAUUAUAAUGGUACACUAUCAAAUAGUUGCCAGCUCUUUGUUCUAUAAUAGCCUUCGAAGGAAGGCCAUAUAAUUUCGAUUUUACAUUUAAUCCGUUCCAUAUUCGUCGCACAAUGGAAGUUAUAACUUCGUUAAAGGAUAUUUCAAACGGAUAACAUCGUGGUAUAAUCGUAAAAAAAAGAAAAAGAGGAAAAAAAAGCGAAGAAAGAAAAAAGGAGGAAGAAGAAGAAGAAGAAGAAGAAGAAGAAGAAGUUGCACCAACACCAAAAGAACUUCCUUUUGCAGUAUCUCCUCUUAUCCUUUGAUUUACAAAGCUUGCUAAUAUUCUAUUCCUACUUCCUGGAUAAGCUCAUACUGUUCGCUACUAAAGUUUCGAGAUGGUUUCAAGGAGUAUUACGCGUUCCUACUUGCUCGUCUACACGUGAGUUCGAUGAUCAUGGUAAUUUUCACGUGAGAGGAAGAAAGAAAGAAAGAAAGAAACAAAGAAAAGGAAAAAGGGAAAAAAGGAGAGAGAGAGAAAGAGAGAGAGAGAGAGAGAGAGAGAAUCCUGCUAUGUAGGUACACUACUCUUUAUGACGACGAUACUCACGGUAGAAUCGUGACGGUCUUCGCAUGACCUUCGCCCGAGUCACGACGUUAUUUCUGGUCCCGAUGGGACGUGACUUCUUGCCAAUGGCGAAUAGGAGAGAUCGGAGAUCAGCGAAGAGAGAGAGAGAGAGAGAAAGAGAGAGAGAGAGAGAGAGAGAGAGAGAGAGAGAAAGAGAGACUUAGCAAGGAUCUCACAUUCCCGCUACCAGCUCUCUUCUUACACCGCAAAUAGGUUUUACUAGCAAGUCUGGCGGAGUUACGCUCUUCUUUCCCUUUAUCACCUUUUAUCCCUAGUCCUCCUGCCUCGUAAUCCGAUCUCUGAUGUGACUGACGUCUCUCAAAGACGCAAAAAACUCAAUGAGAGAGUGAGAGAAAGAGAAAGACCAUAUCCUUCGAAUUCACCAUGAAGACUAUUUUUUUUCACUGAAAUAUUCGAGAGGUCUGAUUUAAUAUUUAAACGUUUUAUCCAAAGCUAAACGAAUUCAAGGAUGAUGAAAAAUUAUGACUUAAGUUCAUGCGUAUAUAUAUAUAUAUAUAUAUAUGUGUGUGUAUAUAUGUAUAAAUUUUUAUCGAAGAAAGAAACCUUGUAUUGCAAUUUUGCGUGCAACGUCCGUUCUUAAUUGAAUUCCAUGGCGGUACACGUUCGACAAUAACCAUUGAGAUUAAUACACUGGAAUCAUUAUGAUAGGAAAGUUGCAACGAUAGAACCUCGCACCUCUUGAUAUAUCGAAGAAGGGUGAGUCGAUCGACGGCUUACACGGCGGUGCCCGAUUAAUUGGAGGAUAACAACCUUACUGACGGUCAGUGUCAUUUGCAUGGAAGAUCGUUACUUGUGUGCGUUUGUGUGUCUGUGCAUUUGUGGGUGUAUAUGAAACAGGCAAAAAGAAAGAAAGAAAAAAGAGAGAGAGAGAGAGAGAGAAAUAUAUAUAUCGAAAGAAAAAAGCGAAAAGGGUAAAAAGGUGUAGGUAAAAUUCCAAGUGAAAAGAAAGAAAAGGACAAAGAUAUAGAGAGAGAAAGACAGAGAGAAAGAGGAAGAGGAAGAGAAAGAGAGAGAGAGAGAGAGAGAGAGAGAGAGAGAAAACAGAGCCCAUUAAAGUACAGAGUUCAUGUAUGCCUUGAGCACAGAAAUGUCAAGACGUCACCCUCGGACGCGUUUAUACGGCCUUCUCUCGCUGGGCUAAUAAUAUAUACGAAGACGCAGCGUGUCACGAAGGAUCGAUCGUUCGAUCGAUGGGUAUCGAUGGAUCGAUCGAUCGAUUCACCGAUCGAUCCCUAGCAUAACGCGAUCAAGCAAGAACACCGGCGAGGCUGCCAACCGCAGAGAGAAUUCCUCGUUGGCACUGGCUGACGUUCUCGAUCGAUUUUGCGAAGGGCAAAAAGUGAAUUCGAGAGGGGAAGGAGGAUGAGUAAGACACGAGAUCUAUCAGCGAUAUUACUCUAUAGUCUGCCUUUAAACACAGUACGUAAGUAAGUUAUACUUUUACUUUUAUGAAUGAGUCUCAUACAAUUAGAAAAGUGCAUAAUCUCGUUUUUACGAGUUCGACCAUGAUCUUGAAUUUUUAAUCACGAUCUUAUCAUCAUCUCGUCGUCUUGAUCACUUGAAUACCUUAUCCUACUCGAGUAUCUUUUCGAAGGCGGCUCUCGAUGAAAUAUAAAAAUCGAGAAAAGAUCGUAGUUCUUCUUCGAAGGUCGUCGUCGU